ensembl:lncRNA
CAGCAGCACUGAGCAAGCAUUCCCCUAACCUUCAGUGGGAGUGAUGUGAGCCUGGCGGUAGCCCUCAGAUCAAAUAAGUACUCAGCUGGUGGUAUUUUACCCUGCUUAUUGAGAUAAAGAGAGUUUUGAAACACUUCCGGGGUUUGCUGUGGGAGUUGUGGGGUCCUGCACAAAGCCCUGUGACCUGUGUCUCAGAGGGGGUUCCCUGCACCGCAGGAGGGCAGAGGAGCAGAAGCAUUGCUUCAAGCCAGAUGCUGCUUCCUGCAACCUUGUCUCAGUGCUGACCUGCAUUCAGAACAGCUACUGUAAUGCAUUGCAUGUACUUAGGUGCAUCUUACGUCUAAGACACCAAGGCAGACCCCUUCCCUCCCAGCUUGUCAGGUGUGGGCCGCUUUUAUCUCUUUUUCUCUGCCUUUCUUUCUCUCAGAGAGACAAAAAAGCACCAUGACAUAUUGAUGCUGGCUGAAGGCAGUCCAACUAUAAUGCCUGCUUCUCCGUCUUGACACAGAGGGAAGGAAGCUCUGUACUCUGGACUGCUCACUGCUCCCCCAUUGGGGAACUGGGCUGGGUAGCAGCCCAGGUAGUUACCUGUCUAAGCCCUGUUGACUUUAUCUCCAGCUUGAUAUCUCUGUUAUUGAUAGCUCCAUUAUCAGGUGGGUUAUUGGCUGCUCAAUGAACUGUCAAACCACUAAUGCUGUCCCUUUGGUGCUGUAGUUGAUUUCUAACAUGCAGAGUUGUGCAUCACCAGUCUGCAAUCUGUACCCUGCUUCCAUAGCCCCUCUACCGAAGAACGGGAUUGAGCAUCAUCUGCCAGAAGGCAUUAAUUUAUUUCACUCAAUUUUCUCUGUCUUUUGCCUAGACAAAAAUUGUCCUUUCAUCCCUCAGCACUGCAUCAGUGGCCACAUGGUUAUAAUGUGUGCAAAGGGAUUCCUUAUGUUCCCAACAUGCAGUUACAACCUUGCACUAAGAUUUUACCACAGUAUAAAAUACAGAAGUAGUUAUCAGAAAGUAAAUAGUUCAUAGCCCUUUCUUCACAAGGGCAACCUCAUUUCAGAGAGGUAGGUGCAAGUUUUGUUCCAACGUGGGGGUGUGGGAAGAGGGCUUUAGGAACACUGCUCCCUGGAGUGCUGGCCUGUGCUCUCCAGUGUCACGUUUGCAAUCACUGGGAUCUCUGAGAAGAACUGAGAACAGAGUUUGCGUCUUCAUAAAGCAGAGGAACCAAACCAAGUUUGAUACUGAACUUUUACAUGUCUCUGCAUUGUCUCCAGGACAGCUUGAGCCCUGGAAUUUAAACUUACCUUGCAGAGAGACUCUCAACCACCCAGGACAGCAGGUGUAAAAGCACCAGAGCCAACACCAAAAGAAAGCGUUUCUCAUAUUACGAGCUUUCUCAAGAUUUUAAUCCAAAUUUCUGUUCAAGUUCCUACCGUUGAAAAUGAAAUAGGAAGUGUUAAGACCUACUCAGAUGGUUUUAUUUCAUCCUCUAUGGAUAUAUAAUACAAAUUGCAAUAUGCAUGGAUCUAAAAGCAAGUAAAUGGAAAAGAACUACCAGUUUAAAAAAAAUUAUUGUAAUUCAGAAAAAAAAUAGGCUCAUUUUACCACAUGGUAGUUAAAUGAUUUGCAUCAAGCUGAUAUUACUGUUCAUUUUAACUGUUGUUAUUAAAAACUUGUGGAAA